UUAGUAUUGCACCUGUAAUAUCAGCGGUACCAUCAGUCCUGUCCGGGCACGCAAGAGGGAUGGUACUUCUCACGGGGCCCUCUGCAGUUUUCCACGAAUUUCUCUGAAUUUGACCCGGAUAUGAGCUUAUAUUGGACGCCAGGACCUAGAAUAGAUACGUAGGGUAGUUAGACGACGCAGUUAAAGAUGUCCCUGACGGAGCGCGUGACCAACAACCAUGGCCAGAAUGGGAACCCCGUCCAGCGGAGCCACUCAUUCGGCGGGUUCAAACAUGAGCAGAACCCCUUCAUGUCCCAACGGGUGUCCAGCUUCGGUAGCCCAGUUGCAGGUAUGAACAAGCGGACAGAAGCCAAGGUCUUCAACUUCAAGAGCCCCAGCCACCGGCGGCCCAAGGUGCCCCGGCCUAACAGAGUCAACGAGAUCUUCACAAGCUUGAAAAGAGGUUUAAGUGACUUGAUAGAAAGCCAGCGGACAGAACUUGCUGACCUGAAGGCUCACAAGGGGGACACCGACACACUGACAAGGAACAACUCCUGCACUGGGUUCUUCUAUGACUUAGAUAAGCAAACCAAAGCCACAGAGAGAUAUAUCAGAAGACUAGAAUAUCAUCACACAAAGGUAGAGGAACUUGCAGAAGCUUACAAUCUCCAUCAGAGACUCAGGGAAGGAGCCAGAAACAUGGUGAAUGCCUACAACAGGUCCAGACACUCGCAGUCCUUCAGCAGACACUCCCAGGAGAGCCUGUCAGAGGUCAAGUCUGGCUUCAAGGAGUGCUCACAGACAAUGUGUAUAAUAGAGGGUGAACUAGAGCAGAUGUUGGGUAGUUUCCAGAUGAGAAUAAAAGGUAUGGCAGGGUUUGCACGGCUGUGUCCAGGCGACGUGUACGACCUACUGGUGCGAUACGGGCCUCAGAAGUGGAGGUUACGUGGACGGGUAGAACGGGACCUGACGCAGGUCUGGGACAAUCAGGAGGUGGUGUUCCAACCUCUCAUAGCAGACAUGCUCAACUUUAAGGUGUCUGAAGUAAAGACGUUGGGGAGAUCGGUGGUGAUCGGUAACAUGACCUGUGAGACCAAAGGUUUCUACAACCCUGUCCCGCAGGUUCUAACUAUCAAUGUCAACGAUCCGGGAACCCUCAAGCUGCAGCUCAUUGUGAAAUGGAGCCCGUGUGAGAGGGAAACAGAAGACUGGUUUGGGUCGCUAACCAAGAAAGAAUCCACCCACAUCAGGAAGAGAUACUCCACAGCAGACUCUGUCCUCACAUCCUCAUCUUCAUCUGGGGGAUCCUACAACUCCCCCGACUCCAGCAUGUCUGCUUCUUACCCUAGAAGACUAAGGCCUUUGUUUGAGCCUCCAGCCAAAGUUGCUACCAAGAGUUAUUUCACUCAGGACACCGCACCUCAGGAGCCCACCUUAGAGGAAAUGGACACCUCGCCUGGCCCCCCUCCUGACACUGUAACCAACGGCAGCCUGGGGGCUCUUCCAACCACCACUGUCACCCCCACUGUCCACCUGGAGCAUGCCCUGCAUUGCCUAAGUAUAGCUCUAGAAGAUUACAGGGGGCAAUACCACGAAUUGCAAGAGCUGGAAGAGGAGUUGAUACAGUUGCAGCAAAGAUUAAAAAAGACCAAUGUGAGUAGAAGAAGCAGUGGGUCCAGUAUAAGUCUGUCAGUGGAGAGUGCUCUGGAGAGCUUCAACUUCCUCAACUUUGUUGGAGAGGAGAGUGACUUAGACAGCGAGCCAGACAGAGGGUUCACAUUCAGCACAUUCAAACCCGACUGGCCCCCACCCCCACCCACAGAGCCCCCACCCCCUCCCCCCACCACAAACGGACAACUCGACCCCUCCAAGGUCAUCCAGGAGAAGAAGUCGUCAGCCGCGUCCUUGAACGAGGAUAUCGGACUAGGUGCCAGCCAGAACUCCAGCCCGGUUCCCCUGACAACGGGAAUUGAGGCUGUAGAUGUAGCCCUUGUCCAUCACCUGCAGUACUGUCAACACCUGCUAGGGAACCUGGGUUCAUUUGGACCCCUGAGAUGUAGGGAGAUGUACUCACUAGACAAGCUGAAGAAGCAGGCAGCAAUCCUGUGGCAGCUCAGAGUACUGGUGGAGGAGGACAGGCAGCAGUGUGGCAUAGUGGAAGCCUGCCCAGUUCUGAAGGACCAGCCCAGACUAGUGGACUUCUGGAACUGUUGUUGUCAGGGCCAGGAGACAGUGUUAUACACCACCAUGGACAAACUGCACCAGCAGCUAGAGGUGGACAAUGUACGGCGCCUCAGAAUACAGUACACUGAUGUCUCUGACAGGGUUCUUCCUGAGCUGAUCCGGAGGAUGACCGAUGACUACAACCCACGUGAGGAGGGUUUGCUCACUGAGGACCAGCCUCACAUUCUCUCCAUCUACCAGUUUGCAGCUUAUGUAACCACGGCAGAAGUCGGCGACAUCGGCAGUCACGUGGACCUGCUCGCCAUAGAAUUGACAACCAUCCACACCCUGCAGUCUUCCAACCACGAGCAGACCAUCAAAGCAGUGAAGAAAAUCGGGAAAAGCGGAGUUCUCCCCAGCAAGGCCAUCCUACACACACUGGGGGGUCUGAUGCUGGACACCAACCCUAAACUCACCAGCGCUGCAUCCUCAUGUAUCAAUACCAUCUGUACCAAGAGUGGGGGAGCCAACAGGGAAAAGCAUGAUCAUGAAGAGAAUGAGCAGGGUGAAAUUGAGGAACUCGCCUUUGUUCUGUACCUGGAAUGUCUGGAGGAUAAAGACCCAAACAUCAGGAGUGCCGGAUGUGCUGCACUGGGUUGUAUGAAGGCCAGAGAAAGCAUGGACAGUCUGCUGUACUUAUGUCAGUCUGAUGUGGAUGAUGUGAAGCGAGCUGCUAGAGAUGCACUCUUAGCACUGGGUAAGUCCAUGUUUGUUUGGUAUUGAAGGAGAUUGAAUUCAGUUGGUCCACUUACACAUCCACUGAGUGGGUUACAGCUACAACAGUCUGCUAGACCCAGUAGUAUUUUUGGUAUCAAUUAUUAACAGAGAACUUUUCUGUAUAGUUUUGACUGAAUAAAUCUGUCUAUUGAAGUACAUUUUAUAAUGAGUAAUACAUAUAGUUGUACUUCAAGUAAUUUUACCGGUAGUGUAGUAGAGCAUGAACUUUAACUUCUUUGAUACAUUCAGCACAUUUAUCCAGUCAGUUCCAGUUACCAUUAACAGUUGGUUUGGUUUUGGAUAUACAGUUUCUAUUACUCCAUCCAUAGUUUCUUUCCUUAUUAGUGAUCUCUAUAUACGACAUACGACAAGUCUUGUUUCUUUCUCAUGCUGCCUGAAACAGCUAGUACCUGAACUCACUCUCCAUUCUUCCUUUCCCUCAUG